rnacentral:rRNA from 1 species
UAAGAGAAAUAAAUAUUAAUUUAUUUUGCUUGGGCACUACGAACACAUGUUUAAAACCCAAAGAACUUGGCGGUACUUUAACCCACUUAGGGGAACCUGUCCUUUAAUUCGAUAAUCCACGACAAUCUUAUUUAUUUUAGAACUUAUCAGCUUGUAUACCGUCGUCAUAAGUUAACCUUAAAAAGAAAAAAAGUUAACAAUAAAGAUAGAUUUUUAUAAAAACUUCUCACAGGUCAGAUCAAGGUGCAGCUAAUAAAUAAAGAAGAGAUGGGUUACAAUUAAUAAAUCUUAAUGGAACCUUUAAAGAAAAAUAAAGAAAAAAUAGGACUUAAAAGUAAUUUGUGACAACAAACACCAAUGAAUAAGGAAAUAAAGUGUGU